rnacentral:rRNA from 1 species
UACGUAGGUCCCGAGCGUUGUCCGGAUUUAUUGGGCGUAAAGCGAGCGCAGGUGGUUUAUUAGGUCUGGUGUAAAAGGCAGUGGCUCAACCAUUGUAUGCAUUGGAAACUGGUAGACUUGAGUGCAGGAGAGGAGAGUGGAAUUCCAUGUGUAGCGGUGAAAUGCGUAGAUAUAUGGAGGAACACCGGUGGCGAAAGCGUCUCUCUGGCCUGUAACUGACACUGAGGCUCGAAAGCGUGGGGAGCAAACAGG